CUCACUUUAGCUCAGCUGGAAGAGCAUGAGACUGUAACGGUUACACUGCUAAGCAAAUCUCAGGGUCGCCUGUUCGAGCCAGGCAAGUGAGA
rnacentral:tRNA from 1 species